GGACGUGGCUCAGUGAUAUAGUGCUUGCCAGAAAAGCAUGAAGCCCUGGGUUCAAUUCCCAGCACCA
rnacentral:tRNA from 1 species